rnacentral:rRNA from 1 species
AAGGUGUUGUCGUUAAUAGCGGCUUCAUUUGACGUUACCUACAGAAGAAGCACCGGCUAACUCCGUGCCAGCAGCCGCGGUAAUACGGAGGGUGCGAGCGUUAAUCGGAAUUACUGGGCGUAAAGCGCAUGCAGGUGGUUCAUUAAGUCAGAUGUGAAAGCCCGGGGCUCAACCUCGGAACCGCAUUUGAAACUGGUGAACUAGAGUGCUGUAGAGGGGGGUAGAAUUUCAGGUGUAGCGGUGAAAUGCGUAGAGAUCUGAAGGAAUACCAGUGGCGAAGGCGGCCCCCUGGACAGACACUGACACUCAGAUGCGAAAGCGUGGGGAGCAAACAGGAUUAGAUACCCUGGUAGUCCACGCCGUAAACGAUGUCUACUUGGAGGUUGUGGCCUUGAGCCGUGGCUUUCGGAGCUAACGCGUUAAGUAGACCGCCUGGGGAGUACGGUCGCAAGAUUAAAACUCAAAUGAAUUGACGGGGGCCCGCACAAGCGGUGGAGCAUGUGGUUUAAUUCGAUGCAACGCGAAGAACCUUACCUACUCUUGACAUCCAGAGAAUUCGCUAGAGAUAGCUUAGUGCCUUCGGGAGCUCUGAGACAGGUGCUGCAUGGCUGUCGUCAGCUCGUGUUGUGAAAUGUUGGGUUAAGUCCCGCAACGAGCGCAACCCUUAUCCUUGUUUGCCAGCACGUAAUGGUGGGAACUCCAGGGAGACUGCCGGUGAUA